rnacentral:rRNA from 1 species
CACGUAGGGGGCGAGCGUUGUCCGGAUUUAUUGGGCGUAAAGAGCUCGUAGGCGGCUCAGUAAGUCAGGUGUGAAAACUCCGGGCUCAACCUGGAGACGCCACUUGAUACUGCUGUGGCUAGAGUCCGGUAGGGGAGCAUGGAAUUCCUGGUGUAGCGGUGAAAUGCGCAGAUAUCAGGAGGAACACCAGUGGCGAAGGCGGUGCUCUGGGCCGGAACUGACGCUGAGGAGCGAAAGCGUGGGGGAGCAAACAGG